rfam:Vitis vinifera, whole genome shotgun sequence of line PN40024, unoriented chromosome 7, chr7
AGGAAUGUAGCUCAGUUGGUUAGAGCCUUGAAAUUUAAACUUGAGGGGAGGGGUUCAAAUCCCCCCCUCCCUU